rnacentral:Y_RNA from 1 species
GGCUUGUCUGAAUGGAGUAGUGUUUACAAUUAAUUGAUCACAACCAAUUACAGAUUCUUUGUUACUUCUCCAUUCCCACUGCUUCAUUUGACUAGCCUUUA